rnacentral:rRNA from 1 species
AUUUCUUCAAAUUUGAUUGAGAUUGAUUCUGUCUUUUAUAUGAAUUGGUUAAAAGAUAAUAUUAAAUACAAGUUUUUGCGAGAUAGUUUUACCUUAAGGGUAAUUAUUUUUAGUUGUAGUUUUUAAUUUUGGGUUUUACAUAAUUGUAGAUUCAGUUAAUUUAUUUAGAUCUGUUUAAAGUUAUGCCAGCAUACGCGGUUAUACAUCUGGAUCAAUUUAAUUUUUUUGGUUAGUAUAUAUUUAAAAUAUUGGUUAUUUAAGUUAUUUUAUAAGGUGAAAUUUUUAAUUUAAUUUAUAUUUUCUAGGUUAAGAUUAUACGAAAUUUAGAAUUUAAACUAGAAUUAGAUACCCUAUUAUUCUAAAUGUAAA